UUCCAGCUCCAAUAGCGUAUAUUAAAGUUGUUGCAGUUAAAAAGCUCGUAGUUGAACUUUGGGUCUGGCUGGCCGGUCCGCCUCACCGCGAGUACUGGUCCGGCUGGACCUUUCCUUCUGGGGAACCUCAUGGCCUUCACUGGCUGUGGGGGGAACCAGGACUUUUACUGUGAAAAAAUUAGAGUGUUCAAAGCAGGCCUUUGCUCGGAUACAUUAGCAUGGAAUAAUAGAAUAGGACGUGCGGUUCUAUUUUGUUGGUUUCUAGGACCGCCGUAAUGAUUAAUAGGGAUAGUCGGGGGCGUCAGUAUUCAGCUGUCAGAGGUGAAAUUCUUGGAUUUGCUGAAGACUAACUACUGCGAAAGCAUUCGCCAAGGAUGUUUUCAUUAAUCAGGGAACGAAAGUUAGGGGAUCGAAGACGAUCAGAUACCGUCGUAGUCUUAACCAUAAACUAUGCCGACUAGGGAUCGGGCGGCGUUUCUUUUAUGACCCGCUCGGCACCUUACGAGAAAUCAAAGUUUUUGGGUUCUGGGGGGGAGUAUGGUCGCAAGGGCUGAAAACUUAAAGAAAUUGACGGAAGGGCACCACAAGGCGUGGAGCCUGCGGCUUAAUUUGACUCAACACGGGGAAACUCACCAGGUCCUAGACAAAAUAAGGAUUGACAGAUUGAGAGCUCUUUCUUGAUCUUUUGGAUGGUGGUGCAUGGCCGUUCUUAGUUGGUGGAGUGAUUUGUCUGCUUAAUUGCGAUAACGAACGAGACCUCGGCCCUUAAAUAGCCCGGUCCGCGUCCGCGGGCCGCUGGCUUCUUAGGGGGACUAUCGGCUCAAGCCGAUGGAAGUGCGC
rnacentral:rRNA from 1 species